GGCUGGUUAUCUCAGUUGAUUAGAGAUUGGUGCUAAUAACACCAAGGUCCUGGGUUCAAUCCCCAGGCAGGCCA